UACGUGGGGUGCAAGCGUUAAUCGGAAUUACUGGGCGUAAAGCGUGCGCAGGCGGUUUUGUAAGUCUGUCGUGAAAUCCCCGGGCUCAACCUGGGAAUUGCGAUGGAGACUGCAAGGCUAGAAUCUGGCAGAGGGGGGUAGAAUUCCACGUGUAGCAGUGAAAUGCGUAGAGAUGUGGAGGAACACCGAUGGCGAAGGCAGCCCCCUGGGUCAAGAUUGACGCUCAUGCACGAAAGCGUGGGGAGCAAACAGG
rnacentral:rRNA from 1 species